rnacentral:misc_RNA from 1 species
AACUUUCGACAAUGGAUCACUUGGUUCUCGCAUCGAUGAAGAGCGUAGCGAAUUGCGAAAAGUAGGGCAACAUGCAUAAAUCGUGAGCCAUUGAAUCCUUGAACGCACACUGCACCUUUUGGUUAAACAAAAGGUCUACGUGUUCGAGUGUCACUUAUAAAUCACAAUUGAAUAACAUUUGUUUGAUUGUUUAAUUGUUGGAAUUGGAUAGCUUGCUUUCUUAACGGGAAGCAUUAUCUGAAAUGUAAAAACAUGGAUUACAUUCAUAAACAUUUUUAUUCAACUUGGAAUUCCUUGUCGAGUUAAAAUGUCGAUUGUUUGUAUAUAUUCCGAUCAAAUGUUUACAGCACAAAAUCGUUUUUCUUUCGAGAAACAGAGAGCGACCUCGAAUCAGGUAGGACUACCCGCUGAACUUAAGCAUAUCAAUAAGCGGAGGCU